CCUACGGGUGGCAGCAGUGAGGAAUAUUGGUCAAUGGACGAGAGUCUGAACCAGCCAAGUAGCGUGAAGGAUGACUGCCCUAUGGGUUGUAAACUUCUUUUAUAUGGGAAUAAAAUGUUCCACGUGUGGGAUUUUGUAUGUACCAUAUGAAUAAGGAUCGGCUAACUCCGUGCCAGCAGCCGCGGUAAUACGGAGGAUCCGAGCGUUAUCCGGAUUUAUUGGGUUUAAAGGGAGCGUAGGUGGAUUGUUAAGUCAGUUGUGAAAGUUUGCGGCUCAACCGUAAAAUUGCAGUUGAAACUGGCAGUCUUGAAUACAGUAGAGGUGGGCGGAAUUCGUGGUGUAGCGGUGAAAUGCUUAGAUAUCACGAAGAACUCCGAUUGCGAAGGCAGUUCACUGGACUGCAACUGACACUGAGGCUCGAAAGUGUGGGUAUCAAACAGGAUUAGAUACCCGUGUAGUC
rnacentral:rRNA from 1 species